GGUCGGGUCCUGUGCGAUCGGGACCCGUGAACCGGGUCAGGGCCGGAAGGCAGCAGCCCUCAGCGGAACCCCCGAGGUGCCGCAGACCACCUGGCCGCC
rnacentral:SRP_RNA from 1 species